rnacentral:rRNA from 1 species
UUCGCCCUUUUCCGGUUGAUCCUGCCGGACCUGACUGCUAUCGGAUUGAUACUAAGCCAUGCGAGUCAUUGUAGCAAUACAAGGCAGACGGCUCAGUAACGCGUAGUCAACCUAACCUAUGGACGGGAAUAACCUCGGGAAACUGAGAAUAAUGCCCGAUAGAACACUAUACCUGGAAUGGUUUGUGUUCCAAAUGAUUUAUCGCCGUAGGAUGGGACUGCGGCCUAUCAGUUUGUUGGUGAGGUAAUGGCCCACCAAGACUAUUACAGGUACGGGCUCUGAGAGGAGUAGCCCGGAGAUGGGUACUGAGACACGGACCCAGGCCCUAUGGGGCGCAGCAGGCGAGAAAACUUUGCAAUGUGCGAAAGCACGACAAGGUUAAUCCGAGUGAUUUGUGCUAAACGAAUCUUUUGUUAGUCCUAGAACCACUAACGAAUAAGGGGUGGGCAAGUUCUGGUGUCAGCCGCCGCGGUAAAACCAGCACCUCAAGUGGUCAGGAUGAUUAUUGGGCCUAAAGCAUCCGUAGCCGGCUCUGUAAGUUUUCGGUUAAAUCUGUACGCUUAACGUACAGGCUGCCGGGAAUACUGCAGAACUAGGGAGUGGGAGAGGUAGACGGUACUCGGUAGGAAGGGGUAAAAUCCUUUGAUCUAUUGAUGACCACCUGUGGCGAAGGCGGUCUACCAGAACACGUCCGACGGUGAGGGAUGAAAGCUGGG